ensembl:lncRNA
AGUUUUUAUGCGAGUGAGAUCAAAGUCUGACACUAAGAGGGCAACUCAUUUUCACUUUGCACGUGCGUUUUUUUCUUUUUUUUUUUGAGUGAUGGAACAGCUACAACCGAGUCUCUCAAUCAGGGAGAAAUCAAAGCAAACAUCUGCGGAAUGAGUGUGCGUCUGCCACCGAACGUGACGGGCAUGCAUGUGUCAGCUCGCUGGAGUGGAACUCCUUUGACGGGCAUGUUCUGCGCAUGGGCACGGCGCCAGCGUGGAGAAGGAAAAGCCUCUGAGCAUCAGGCUGCAGAUGUUUGAAUGAAAGGAGCAGUUUGUUCGGGUGCAACUCAAUCGGCUCGUCUCUGCUGGUGCAGUUUUGGUCUCCACUCCAUCCAUCAAGUUUCACUUUUAUUUUUAGGUCAUUUGAAUCCGCCGCUGGGGCAGAAUGAUUUCUUACACCAGGGAUGAUCUCUUCAUACAAAUGUUUUAAAUGCGACUGCCUGCUGAUGAAUGUUCUUGAUGCUGAUCCGGGAACAGAGAGCAUCACUGCUGCUUUAAAGCGGAGAGCAGCCCCUCCCUCCCCUGCGUCAGCAUCAGCAUCACCCACAGGCGGCAGGAUGGCGAUCGAUCCGGCAGUGGAGCGUUCAGCUCAGAAGGGGAUUUGUGAGGAGGACCUGAUCACGCAGGAGAGCUGAGGUACAGUCUGCGCUUCAGGCAAGGCUCUGGCAUCAUGAACCGAGAUAUCACCAUGGAGCAUCAUAUGCUGUUAACAUUUUCACAGCAUUUGAAAACUGUCCAUGUUCCUCUUGGCUGA